UACAGAGGUGGCAAGCGUUGUUCGGAUUUACUGGGCGUAAAGGGUGCGUAGGCGGCUCCGUAUGUCGGAUGUGAAAUCUUACCGUCCAACGGUAAAACUGCAUUCGAAACUGCGGGGCUAGAGGUCAGGAGGGGAGAGCGGAAUUCUCGGUGUAGCGGUGAAAUGCGUGGAUAUCGAGAAGAACGCCGGUGGCGAAGGCGGCUCUCUGGACUGAUUCUGACGCUGAGGCAGGAAAGCUGGGGGAGCAAACAGG
rnacentral:rRNA from 1 species